CUCUCGGCAGGCUCUCGUCGAACCGAGCUUACAUUGUAAGUGGCGCUCAGUGUGCAAUCUAAUCACUUUGGUGAGACGGCAUUAGGUCGUUUUGGUUGAUGGCGCCAAGUUUGGUGAGCCCGGAAUUGCUCUCGUCGCUAUUCGCAAUUCUCUACACAGUUCGCCGUUAGCUGCGCAAAUUUGGUAUUUUCAAGUUAAUAUCGCACUCGUCGAGACUUAUCAACGGCAGUAAACAAUUGUCAGUCAGCACUAGUGCAAUGUUCUACGCUUGCCAGUGCCCAAAUCGAAUUAUUCGAAUGUUAACUUGGUUUUGAAAGUAAAAUUAAUCGAACUUUUGUUGUUUACCGUCAUGCGUGUGGCAGUGUGCAUUGCUUUUAAUUACAGAAAAUAUUUGUAAAAUUUUCGAAUGAGUGGCGGUUAAAAAUAACUUGUUCAAACAUAUCAUUCGCUGCAGUGGUGACUGAAAUAAAACUAGGCCAAAAGUUUGCACUAAAUAAGUAAAUGAAGGAAAUGAGCAAUAAUUAUGAAUUGAAAGUGAAAAAUACAUAUAUAUUUUACAAAAAAAGCAAUGAGCUUGCCAAAUUACUACAGGCUGAGUGAAAAAUACAAUGACUGAAAAUCGAAAAAAAAUUUACAAUGAAAAUUUUUUAAUUUGAAAUUAAAUGUAAAUACAUGAAAAAACAAUAUGAACCAAAAAAAUUGUUAAAUGGAGUUUAAAAAUUAUAAGUGUAAAUAAAAAAUAAAAACAAAUAAAAAAUUGGGGGAUUACACAAAACAACCACGCUGUCAUCGUCAUAGACAGCUAAAAAUA
rnacentral:lncRNA from 1 species